UGGGGAAUAUUGGACAAUGGGGGCAACCCUGAUCCAGCCAUGCCGCGUGAGUGAUGAAGGCCCUAGGGUUGUAAAGCUCUUUUGUGCGGGAAGAUAAUGACGGUACCGCAAGAAUAAGCCCCGGCUAACUUCGUGCCAGCAGCCGCGGUAAUACGAAGGGGGCUAGCGUUGCUCGGAAUCACUGGGCGUAAAGGGUGCGUAGGCGGAUCUUUAAGUCAGAGGGGAAAGCCUGGAGCUCAACUCCAGAACCGCCUUUGAUACUGAGGAUCUUGAGUUCGGGAGAGGUGAGUGGAACUGCGAGUGUAGAGGUGAAAUUCGUAGAUAUUCGCAAGAACACCAGUGGCGAAGGCGGCUCACUGGCCCGAUACUGACGCUGAGGCACGAAAGCGUGGGGAGCAAACA
rnacentral:rRNA from 1 species